rnacentral:miRNA from 1 species
GCGGGAGGCUCUGGUGCUGG